rnacentral:rRNA from 1 species
AAACAGUACGUGAAAUUGCUGAAAGGGAAACGCUUGAAGUCAGUCGCGUUGUCCGGAACUCAGCCUUGCUUUUGCUUGGUGCACUUUCCGGAUGACGGGUCAGCAUCGAUUUUGACCGUCGGAAAAGGGCUGGAGUAAUGUGGCACCUCCGGGUGUGUUAUAGACUCUGGUCGCAUACGACGGUUGGGAUCGAGGAACGCAGCGCGCCGCAAGGCAGGGGUUCGCCCACUUUCGCGCUUAGGAUGCUGGCAUAAUGGCUUU